rnacentral:rRNA from 2 species
CAAACUUGGUCAUUUAGAGGAAGUAAAAGUCGUAACAAGGUUUCCGUAGGUGAACCUGCGGAAGGAUCAUUACCGAGUGUAGGGUUCCUAGCGAGCCCAACCUCCCACCCGUGUUUACUGUACCUUAGUUGCUUCGGCGGGCCCGCCAUUCAUGGCCGCCGGGGGCUCUCAGCCCCGGGCCCGCGCCCGCCGGAGACACCACGAACUCUGUCUGAUCUAGUGAAGUCUGAGUUGAUUGUAUCGCAAUCAGUUAAAACUUUCAACAAUGGAUCUCUUGGUUCCGGCAUCGAUGAAGAACGCAGCGAAAUGCGAUAACUAGUGUGAAUUGCAGAAUUCCGUGAAUCAUCGAGUCUUUGAACGCACAUUGCGCCCCCUGGUAUUCCGGGGGGCAUGCCUGUCCGAGCGUCAUUGCUGCCCAUCAAGCACGGCUUGUGUGUUGGGUCGUCGUCCCCUCUCCGGGGGGGACGGGCCCCAAAGGCAGCGGCGGCACCGCGUCCGAUCCUCGAGCGUAUGGGGCUUUGUCACCCGCUCUGUAGGCCCGGCCGGCGCUUGCCGAACGCAAAUCAAUCUUUUUCCAGGUUGACCUCGGAUCAGGUAGGGAUACCCGCUGAACUUAAGCAUAUCAAUAAGCGGAGGA